rnacentral:lncRNA from 1 species
CGUAACUCCAUUUUGAUCGUGUCCUACUUGAAACUUGCUUAGAAUCUCGUGUAGUUUCAUUUUCUCUUACUGGUUGUUUGUCUUGAAGUGCUCGUAGCCAUCGUUGCACACAUUUUGCAUUCAUGCCAUCAUAUCUUGCGGCGCUUGUAUCUUUUGAUCCGUAGCUCCGUUGGAGAUGUUCUUUACGUGUAGGUUUCUUGCCUUGACGCGUAGAAGCACGUGAACCUAUUGGUUUUGCUGUUUAACAACUAAUUAAAUGUCUUAAUUCAGAUCUGGACAGAAUUGUAAAUUAACAUGUGAGGUCGAAUCAGAGGUGCUAUAUGUCAUUUCCGACCUCAUUUAAAAUGCCUAGAUAGGUAGUUUAAUUUCCGCUUCACCUCUUGCAUGUUUAACCACAUUUAAUAUUGCCGUGUAAAUAACCGGGAGUGAACUAAAUAUUUAACGUGGAGUUUCGUCAAUAUGCAACUCGUGCAUAUUGAACUUCACUUAAUGUGUAGUGUUUGAUUGUGUGAUUUGUCAUGCCGUGACUUGCAUGUAUUCAGCAGCUCAUGCAUCAUAUGUGUUGUGCAUCGUAUGGUGAAUAUCGUGUGUUGAUUCUUGUUUUCGGUUUGCUUCGUCUCGAUAGAGUUUCGCAUCGUGCCGGAUUGUGAGGACCCGUUCGACUACGUCGGUUCGUCUGCUUUACGGAGUCAUUCUUCUUCCAAGCGGGAUCUCAGGCAAGAUGAUCAUUUCCCCAGAUACCAUUACUAUCAUUGCCAUGCUAGAUUUACCGUCUCUAUCGUUAUGUCUCGUUGCCUACCACAUGUUAAAUAUCAGCCUCUCAACAAUGCCAUGAAACCUUCAACCUGUUCAACCUAGCAAACCACUGAUUGGCUAUGUUACUGCUUGCUUAACCCUGUUGAUAGCGUUGCUAGUUGCAGGUGUAGUUGCUUCCAUGUGAAAACAUGGGUCCCUUGUCUUAUCAUCAUAUUAUAUGCUAUUUAAUUUAUUGCACCUCUAUACUUGGUAAAAGGUGGAAGGCUCGACCUUUCUAGCCUGGUGUUUUGUUCCACCUUUGCCCCCUUAGUUUCGGCUACCGGUGUUAUGUUCCAUAAAUGAGCGCUCCUAACACGAUCGGGGUUGUUAUGGGGACCCCCUUGAUAAUUUGUUUUAGAUUAAGGCUGGUCUGGCAAGGCCCAACUUUGGUUCUACAUUUUCCCAACAUAAUAACUUGAUAAUAUUGAAAUGCAUAGGGAGUUAGCGCUACCCGAGGAGUAAUUCUACAUAUUACAGGGGGGCCAGUGCUGUUGGUGCUGGUCCAAAACUAGAGCCGUUUGCGGGGCCAACCCGGGGCAACUCGGGAGAUUUCUAUCAGGCCACCGUACGCUGUGCUUAUACGUCGUGUCCUGAGAACGAGAUACGUGGCUCCUAUCGGGAUCGUCGACACGCCGGGCGGCCUUGCUGGAUUAGUUUUACCUUUGACGAGAUAUCUUGUGCAUCGGGAUUCCGGUGAUGCUUUGGGUAAUCUCAGAGUUGAGGUUUUCCACUAGGGAAUCCGACGAGGUCGCGAGCUUCGUGAUUGAGGAUUUCUAUGCGGCUUGUGGUAAUUUGUGAUGGACUAGUUGGAGCACCCCUGCAGGGUUAAAUCUUUUGGAAAGCCGUGCCCGCGGUUAUGUGACAACGUGGAUACUUUGUUUAACACUGGUUCUAGAUAACUCGAAGUUAAUUAAUUAAAACAUGCCUACCGUGUGCGUAACCGUGACUGUCUCUUUCGUGAGUUCCUUCUCCGAUCGAGGACACGGUGGGGUUAUGUCUGACGUAGGCAGGUGUUCAGGAUCAUUCAUUUGAUCAUCAGUAGUUCACGUUCGUUAUGCGUAGAUCUUCCCCCUCUCAUUUCUUGUACUCAUAAGUUUAGCCACCAAAUAUAUGCUUAGGCGCUGCUGCAACCUCACCACUUAACCAUACCUCACCCAUUAAGCUUUACUAGUCUUGAUACCUUUGGAAAUGAGAUUGCUGAGUCCCCUGUGGCUCACAGAUUACUACAACACCAGUUGCAGGUACAGGUAGAGGGUACUUGACGCGAGCGUGUUGAUUGUUCAUUUGGAGUUGCUUCUUCUUCUUCUUCUUCUUCAUCGAUCUAGGAUGGGUUCCAGGCCGGCAUCUUGGGAUAGCAAGGAUGGACGUCGUUCUUCUUUUGUCGUUUGUUUUCGUCCGUAGUCGGACCCUGCUCUUACUCUUGAUGAUUAUGUAAUGUACUGAUGUGACUGAUGUAACUUGUGACGAUUGUAAGCCAAUUCUAUAUAUCUCUUCUUUUCAGUACAUGUACUUGUAACGAUAUCCAUUCUUGCGACACGACGAGAUGCGCUUCUAUCCCUGACGAGACCCUCGUGCCAAAUUGAGGAUAGGGU